UCGGGAAUUUUGGGCAAUGGGCGAAAGCCUGACCCAGCAACGCCGCGUGAAGGAUGAAGUAUUUCGGUAUGUAAACUUCGAAAGAAUAGGAAGAAUAAAUGACGGUACUAUUUGUAAGGUCCGGCUAACUACGUGCCAGCAGCCGCGGCAAUACGUAGGGACCAAGCGUUGUUCGGAUUUACUGGGCGUAAAGGGCGCGUAGGCGGUUUGUCAAGUCAGUUGUGAAAUCUCCGAGCUUAACUCGGAACGGUCAGAUGAUACUGCUUUGCUAGAGUGCAGAAGGGGCAAUCGGAAUUCUUGGUGUAGCGGUGAAAUGCGUAGAUAUCAAGAGGAACACCUGAGGUGAAGACGGGUUGCUGGGCUGACACUGACGCUGAGGCGCGAAAGCCAGGGGAGCAAACGGGAUUAGAUACCCUUGUAGUCCCUGAGCGGGCUGGCAAGGCGCAU
rnacentral:rRNA from 1 species